AUUGAACGCUAGCGGGAUGCCUUACACAUGCAAGUCGAACGGCAGCACGGACUUCGGUCUGGUGGCGAGUGGCGAACGGGUGAGUAAUGUAUCGGAACGUGCCCAGUAGCGGGAGAUAACUACGCGAAAGCGUAGCUAAUACCGCAUACGCCCUACGGGGGAAAGCAGGGGAUCGUAAGACCUUGCACUAUUGGAGCGGCCGAUAUCGGACUAGCUAGUUGGUGGGGUAACGGCUCACCAAGGCGACGAUCCGUAGCUGGUUUGAGAGGACGACCAGCCACACUGGGACUGAGACACGGCCCAGACUCCUACGGGAGGCAGCAGUGGGGAAUUUUGGACAAUGGGGGAAACCCUGAUCCAGCCAUCCCGCGUGUGCGAUGAAGGCCUUCGGGUUGUAAAGCACUUUUGGCCGGAAAGAAACGUCAUGGGUUAAUACCCCGUGAAACUGACGGACCUGCAGAAUA
rnacentral:rRNA from 1 species